rnacentral:rRNA from 1 species
AGGAAUUGGCGGGGGAGCACCACAACGCGUGGAGCCCGCGGUUUAAUUGGAUUCAACGCCGGACAUCUCACCAGAGGCGACAGCUGUAUGAUAGCCAGGUUGAUGACUUUGCUUGACUAGCUUAAAGGAGGUGCAUGGCCGCCGUCAACUCGUACCGUGAGGCGUCCUGUUAAGUCAGGCAACGAGCGAGACCCACGCCCUUAGUUACCAGCUUAUCCUUUUUUGGAUGAUGGGCACACUAAGGGGACCGCCUAUGAUAAAUAGGAGGAAGGAGUGGACGACGGUGGGUCCGUAUGCCCCGAAUCCUCUGGGCAACACGCGGGCUACAAUGGCUGAGACAAUGGGUUCCGACACCGAAAGGGGGAGGUAAUCCUCUAAACUUAAUCGUAUUUCGGAUUGAGGACUGUAACUCGUUCUCAUGAAGCUGGAAUGCGUACUAAUCGCGUAUCACUAUUGCGCGGUGAAUACGUCUCUGCUCCUUGCACACACCGC